CUCCCGCCGGCGACCGGCGCACGGGUGAGUAACACGUAUGAAACCUGCCCGUAGCAGGGGGAUAAGCGGAAGAAAUUCCGUCUAAUACCGCGUAACAACCCAUGGAGGCAUCUCUGUGGGUUUAAAGGAAGCGAUUCCGGCUACGGAUGGUCAUGCGUCGCAUUAGCUUGUUGGCGGGGUAACGGCCCACCAAGGCGACGAUGCGUAGGGGUUCUGGGAGGAAGGUCCCCCACACUGGUACUGAGACACGGACCAGACUCCUACGGGAGGCAGCAG
rnacentral:rRNA from 1 species